rnacentral:rRNA from 1 species
CAGCCGCCGCGGUAAGACGGAGGGUGCUAGCGUUGUUCGGAAUCACUGGGCGUAAAGGGCGCGUAGGCGGCCUGUUAAGUCGGAUGUGAAAGCCCGGGGCUCAACCCCGGAACUGCAUCCGAGACUGGCAGGCUUGAGACCGGGAGAGGAGGGUGGAAUAUCCAGUGUAGAGGUGAAAUUCGUAGAUAUUGGAUGGAACACCGGUGGCGAAAGCGGCUCUCUGGCCCGGAUCUGACGCUGAGGCGCGAAAGCGUGGGGGAGCAAACAGGAUUAGAUACCCCGGUAGUCCCUGUCUCUUAUA